rnacentral:rRNA from 1 species
GAUGAACGCUGGCGGCGUGCCUAAUACAUGCAAGUCGAGCGAACGGACGAGAAGCUUGCUUCUCUGAUGUUAGCGGCGGACGGGUGAGUAACACGUGGAUAACCUACCUAUAAGACUGGGAUAACUUCGGGAAACCGGAGCUAAUACCGGAUAAUAUUUUGAACCGCAUGGUUCAAAAGUAAAAGACGGUCUUGCUGUCACUUAUAGAUGGAUCCGCGCUGCAUUAGCUAGUUGGUAAGGUAACGGCUUACCAAGGCAACGAUGCAUAGCCGACCUGAGAGGGUGAUCGGCCACCCUGGAACUGAGACACGGUCCAGACUCCUACGGGAGGCCGCAGUAGGGAAUCUUCCGCAAUGGGCGAAAGCCUGACGGAGCAACGCCGCGUGAGUGAUGAAGGUCUUCGGAUCGUAAAACUCUGUUAUUAGGGAAGAACAUAUGUGUAAGUAACUGUGCACAUCUUGACGGUACCUAAUCAGAAAGCCACGGCUAACUACGUG